AGCGAACGCUGGCGGCGUGCUUAACACAUGCAAGUCGAGCGAAGCACUUAAGUUUGAUUCUACGGAUGAAGACUUUUGUGACUGAGCGGCGGACGGGGGAGUAACGCGUGGGUAACCUGCCUCAUACAGGGGGAUAACAGUUAGAAAUGACUGCUAAUACCGCAUAAGACCACAGUACCGCAUGGUACAGUGGUAAAAACUCCGGUGGUAUGAGAUGGACCCGCGUCUGAUUAGGUAGUUGGUGGGGUAACGGCCUACCAAGCCGACGAUCAGUAGCCGACCUGAGAGGGUGACCGGCCACAUUGGGACUGAGACACGGCCCAGACUCCUACGGGAGGCAGCAGUGGGGAAUAUUGCACAAUGGAGGAAACUCUGAUGCAGCGACGCCGCGUGAAGGAUGAAGUAUUUCGGUAUGUAAACUUCUAUCAGCAGGGAAGAAAAUGACGGUACCUGACUAAGAAGCCCCGGCUAACUACGUGCCAGCCGCCGCAGUAA
rnacentral:rRNA from 1 species